ACUACACGAUAUUCGUUCUUGA
rnacentral:miRNA from 1 species